CAGAGAGAUAGUAUUAUGCUUAUUGCAGAAACUCUGCUCUUUUUAAAGCCCCCAGAGUAUAACUCAUAACUGUCAAUCAGCAACAACCUUUUGGGCCUCUGAAACAUUGUAUUAGCACUUUACUGCAGUCUGUGAGUCACACCGGCUUCCCACGUACCGCGAACAUCAGCUGUGGUGAAGAAAAUUACAAAAUAUUGACCGAAAUCUGCCCUUUGACCCCUCUACAGCCCUCAUCCAUGCUGACCUCCAGUCACUAUGGAAACAGUGUGCCUCACUCACCGUCCUGCCAGAACAUGGGGGACAACAGGGAGGGGAGGAGGAGGAAGAAGAAGAGGAGGCGAGAGGGGAGUCCGAGCAGGACAGAGAAACACUGAGGACGGAGAGGAAGAGGAGGCACUCAAGCAUGCGAGAGAUAUCCAGUGAGUCAGGACUGCCACCCGCAGACGGCUCGUCCUACACGUCCAAAGAGGACAAAUCCAUAACCGAUGUGGUCACUCCUGUCAGCAGAUGGUAAGUCUCAGGUGGAUGGAUGGACAGACAGACAGCUAGAUGGACAAAGAAAUACAUCACUGUGUGUGGGUGUGUGUGUGUGUGUGUGUGGUGUGUGUGUGUGUGUGUGUGUGUGUGUGGUGGUGUAGGUCUCCACAAGAGGAGGCGCAGCUCCGCAUGGAUCCCAUAGCGGAGGAGAACGUCGAGAUGCCCGAGGCUCGGACUGACACAGAACAAAGGGACAUGCUGAGCUGGAUCUCCUCCAGCUUGCAGAGGUUUGGGGAAGUCACCUUUGACUCUCUGGUGCCCCCGGAGGCCAACCGCACCACUGCAGCACACACGCUCUAUAAACUGCUAGAGCUGCUGUCUGCCCGACAGGUGACCGUCCAACAGACUGAACCGUUCAGUAACAUCUGCAUCAGGACGGCCGCGUGAACACACACAACAUACACACUAUAGUCCUGUAGAGGUACAGUUAAUAGUCUUUUUAUCGAUGAAUAUAAUGUAUGAAUGUAACCCUUUCGCUUUUAGUGACGCAUUAUAUCAUCACAUCAGAUCUCAC
rnacentral:lncRNA from 1 species